CAUUAGAAAACUAAAAGUUAGUACUGGUCUCUUAAACCAUUAAUUGGUAAUUUACGCUUACCUCUAAUGA
rnacentral:tRNA from 2 species